rnacentral:rRNA from 1 species
CUGGCGGAAUGCUUUACACAUGCAAGUCGAACGGUAGGAGGGGGCAACCCCUUGAAGAGUGGCGAACGGGUGAGUAAUAUAUCGGAACGUGCCCAGUCGUGGGGGAUAACGUAGCGAAAGUUACGCUAAUACCGCAUACGAUCUAAGGAUGAAAGCGGGGGAUCGCAAGACCUCGCGCGACUGGAGCGGCCGAUAUCAGAUUAGGUAGUUGGUAGGGUAAAGGCCUACCAAGCCAACGAUCUGUAGCUGGUCUGAGAGGACGACCAGCCACACUGGAACUGAGACAGGNUCCAGACUCNUACGGGAGGCAGCAGUGGGGAAUUUUGGACAAUGGGCGAAAGCCUGAUCCAGCCAUUCCGCGUGCAGGAUGAAGGCCCUCGGGUUGUAAACUGCUUUUGUACAGAACGAAAAGGUUUCUACUAAUACUAGGAGCUCAUGACGGUACUGUAAGAAUAAGCACCGGCUAACUACGUGCCAGCAGCCGCGGUAAUACGUAGGGUGCAAGCGUUAAUCGGAAUUACUGGGCGUAAAGCGUGCGCAGGCGGUUAUAUAAGUCAGAUGUGAAAUCCCCGGGCUCAACCUGGGAACUGCAUUUGAGACUGUAUAGCUAGAGUACGGUAGAGGGGGAUGGAAUUCCGCGUGUAGCAGUGAAAUGCGUAGAUAUGCGGAGGAACACCGAUGGCGAAGGCAAUCCCCUGGACCUGUACUGACGCUCAUGCACGAAAGCGUGGGGAGCAAACAGGAUUAGAUACCCUGGUAG